GUAAGGAAUGGAGCUACUAGUAGCGCAGAGAUUGUGUCUAACACCAUUGUGGCUUUGUUCAGGCCUUGGAGUUAAUGUUCUCCUUACUUUAUCGUCGGGGCGCCGAUACAAAAUGGAGGGGUAGAUUGUGGCGUGAGGGUGGUCCUCUCGCGUCAUGACCGUGGUUAGCCUAUUGGCAACGCCCCUGGGCUAUAAAAACAGGAGCGUAUGCGUCACCUGGGAUGCGUCACUUGGGGGACUGCUGCGUCGUUAACGCGAUCCCGUCACUUCCGGAAUUGGCUGUGUAUUCUCGAGACGAGUCGCUGAUUAGUUUGGCAAGUGCUUCCGCAUUGAUACUGCGUUCAUCUUGGCGAGUGCUUCCGCAUUGAUACUGCGUUCAUCACAACGGUCUAUUCAAAGAGUGUCUGUACAAAGAGUGGAAAAGGUAGGAUGAAUGCUUUGUGGUUGAUUAACUGGUAAAUGCAUAACCUACUAAUUCGCUCUUUUCCCAGCUGUGCUAUUUUGAUAGCUGCUGGCAUAUUGUGUCUACCUUCAUUCUCAGCUGUGAGAUCUGAUGCGAGUGCGGAAUUAAGGUGCUCCGUAAGGGCAGCUGUUGAAAGCAACUAUUGUUGUCUGUUCGUCAUAAUUAACCCUGUGUUGAUCGGUUUGGGGACUAUCUGGGUCGGGG